rnacentral:rRNA from 1 species
GUAACUACGGGAAAUCUCCCCGCCUAACGGGGAGGCGUCACGGUGGAAAUCGCGGCUUGGGACCGGAAGACCAGAGGGGUACGUCUCGGGGUAGGAGUGAAAUCCCGUAAUCCUGGACGGACCACCGGUGGCGAAAGCGCCUCUGGAAGACGGAUCCGACGGUGAGGGACGAAAGCUCGGGUCACGAACCGGAUUAGAUACCCGGGUAGUCCGAGCUGUAAACGAUGUCUGCUAGGUGUGCCACAGGCUACGAGCCUGUGGUGUGCCGCAGGGAAGCCGUGAAGCAGACCGCCUGGGAAGUACGUCCGCAAGGAUGAAACUUAAAGGAAUUGGCGGGGGAGCACUACAACCGGAGGAGCCUGCGGUUUAAUUGGACUCAACGCCGGACAUCUCACCAGCAUCGACAGUAGGAGUGACGGUCAGUGUGAUGAGCUUACCCGACCUACUGAGAGGAGGUGCAUGGCCGCCGUCAGCUCGUACCGUGAGGCGUCCUGUUAAGUCAGGCAACGAGCGAGACCCGCACUCCUAAUUGCAGCAACACCCUGNGGUGGUACGUACAUANGAGACUGCAGUGCGACUCUGAACCGUCCCAUAGCUGA